CAACUUGAGAGUUUGAUCCUGGCUCAGAACGAACGCUGGCGGCAGGCCUAACACAUGCAAGUCGAACGCUCGUAGCAAUACGGGAGUGGCAGACGGGUGAGUAACACGUGGGAAUAUACCCUUCGGUACGGAAUAACUCAGGGAAACUUGUGCUAAUACCGUAUACGUCCUGGCGGAGAAAGAUUUAUCGCCGAAGGAUUAGCCCGCGUCUGAUUAGCUAGUUGGUGAGG
rnacentral:rRNA from 1 species